AAACAUCUAAGAUAAGGGAGUCUCUGUAGACCCCACUCCUCUCUGCCAGUUAUCAGAUUUUGACAACUAGAGAUGUCUAGGAUUUCUAUAUUGAAAGGCAAUCCUCCAUCAGGGAAGGACUCAAGUUCAGGACAGUUCGAAAUCCAAAGAUUUUUAAGAGAUGGAAGGAGUUCAUGCAUACAGUCUGGCAGUGCUUUCAGUUUCUGGCAGUCAUAAACCCAAAGAUACUUCAAGUUCGGAGCAA
rnacentral:misc_RNA from 1 species